AGUGAACGCUGGCGGUAGGCCUAACACAUGCAAGUCGAACGGCAGCACAGUAAGAGCUUGCUCUUACGGGUGGCGAGUGGCGGACGGGUGAGGAAUACAUCGGAAUCUACUUUUUCGUGGGGGAUAACGUAGGGAAAUUUACGCUAAUACCGCAUACGACCUACGGGUGAAAGCAGGGGAUCUUCGGACCUUGCGCGAUUGGAUGAGCCGAUGUCGGAUUAGCUAGUUGGCGGGGUAAAGGCCCACCAAGGCGACGAUCCGUAGCUGGUCUGAGAGGAUGAUCAGCCACACUGGAACUGAGACACGGUCCAGACUCCUACGGGAGGCAGCAGUGGGGAAUAUUGGACAAUGGGCGCAAGCCUGAUCCAGCCAUACCGCGUGGGUGAAGAAGGCCUUCGGGUUGUAAAGCCCUUUUGUUGGGAAAGAAAAGCAGCAGGUUAAUACCCCGCUGUUCUGACGGUACCCAAAGAAUAAGCACCGGCUAACUUCGUG
rnacentral:rRNA from 1 species